GCAUUCCAACUCAUCCUCAAUUUCUUGAAUGCUCGCCUCUAGUUCCUCCAAUCGCUUUGACAGAUCGCCUACUUGAUUAUUGAUGUCUUUGCUCGAUCUGAGGGAGAGCACGAGGGCAUCCAAGCCUUGCACUUCAUUGGUUUCCUUUCCUCCGUCACAUGAUACGCGUUUAGGUCCCAGCAGUUUCGACACUCGGGACCAGCCUCUAGGCUUGGUGCUUGCACUUGUCAGAGCAAGGAAACCUAAGAGGGACCCGAAUACGGAAACGCUGAUCUCUCCAGCUUCAGUUAGUAUGCUGAGGGUAGCUUCAUUGUGAGAGGCCUUCUUAGAGCCUUCCUUCUUCAAAUUUCUCAAGUACUUGCCGAUUACUUUGUUCAACUUUUU
rnacentral:lncRNA from 1 species